AGUGAACGCUGGCGGUAGGCCUAACACAUGCAAGUCGAACGGCAGCACAGUAAGGGCUUGCUCUUACGGGUGGCGAGUGGCGGACGGGUGAGGAAUACAUCGGAAUCUACUUUUUCGUGGGGGGUAACGUAGGGAAACUUACGCUAAUACCGCAUACGACCUACGGGUGAAAGCAGGGGAUCUUCGGACCUUGCGCGAUUGAAUGAGCCGAUGUCGGAUUAGCUAGUUGGCGGGGUAAAGGCCCACCAAGGCGACGAUCCGUAGCUGGUCUGAGAGGAUGAUCAGCCACACUGGAACUGAGACACGGUCCAGACUCCUACGGGAGGCAGCAGUGGGGAAUAUUGGACAAUGGGCGCAAGCCUGAUCCAGCCAUACCGCGUGGGUGAAGAAGGCCUUCGGGUUGUAAGGCCCUUUUGUUGGGAAAGAAAAGCAGCAGGUUAAUACCCCGCUGUUCUGACGGUACCCAAAGAAUAAGCACCGGCUAACUUCGUG
rnacentral:rRNA from 1 species